GCACUCCAGCCGCAGGAGCGAGGAGCAGCCGAGCUAGAUGCACAUGGGCGUGGGGACUCCGGUACAACACCAACCCACAAGGUUAGCAGGUAACUCUCUGGGAUAGGGACUGCGCCCAGGCAUGGAGGGUGGGGUAGCGGGUGGUUUUCUCUGACUCCCUUCCUCCUCACGCCCAGCCCUUACCCUUCCUCCACUUAUGGGCCUUAUCCCAGACCUGGGGCGUCCAGCGCAGCCUCAAACCCAGGGCAUCUCUGCACUCUCAUCGCGACGUCGCUCUGGAUGCUG
rnacentral:lncRNA from 1 species